rnacentral:rRNA from 1 species
GAAAAGAAACCAACCGGGAUUGCCUCAGUAACGGCGAGUGAAGCGGCAAGAGCUCAAAUUUGAAAGCUGGCCCCUCCGGGGUCCGCGUUGUAAUUUGCAGAGGAUGCUUCGGGCUCAGCCCCCGUCUAAGUGCCCUGGAACGGGCCGUCGGAGAGGGUGAGAAUCCCGUCUGGGACGGGGUGCCUGGGUCCAUGUGAAGCUCCUUCGACGAGUCGAGUUGUUUGGGAAUGCAGCUCUAAAUGGGUGGUAAAUUUCAUCUAAAGCUAAAUACUGGCCGGAGACCGAUAGCGCACAAGUAGAGUGAUCGAAAGAUGAAAAGCACUUUGAAAAGAGAGUUAAACAGCACGUGAAAUUGUUGAAAGGGAAGCGCUUGCGAUCAGACUCGCCUGCGGGGUUCAGCCGGCAUUCGUGCCGGUGUACUUCCCCGUGGGCGGGCCAGCGUCGGUUCGGGUGGCCGGUCAAAGGCCCCGGGAAUGUGUCGCCCUCCGGGGCGUCUUAUAGCCCGGGGUGCCAUGCGGCCUACCUGGACCGAGGAACGCGCUUCGGCUCGGACGCUGGCGUAAUGGUCGUAAGCGACCCGUCUUGAAACACGGACCAAGGAGUCUAACAUCUACGCGAGUGUUUGGGUGGCAAACCCAUACGCGCAGUGAAAGCGAACGGAGGUGGGAACCCUUCGGGGCGCACCAUCGACCGAUCCUGAUGUCUUCGGAUGGAUUUGAGUAAGAGCGUAGCUGUGGGGACCCGAAAGAUGGUGAACUAUGCCUGAAUAGGGCGAAGCCAGAGGAAACUCUGGUGGAGGCUCGCAGCGGUUCUGACGUGCAAAUCGAUCGUCAAAUUUGGGUAUAGGGGCGAAAGACUAAUCGAACCAUCUGGUAGCUGGUUCCUGCCGAAGUCC